rnacentral:rRNA from 1 species
GGUACAUCGGUGACAGGUGGUGCAUGGUUGUCGUCAGCUCGUGUCGUGAGAUGUUGGGUUAAGUCCCGCAACGAGCGCAACCCCUAUUGUUAGUUGCCAUCAUUCAGUUGGGCACUCUAGCGAGACUGCCGGUAAUAAACCGGAGGAAGGUGGGAUGACGUCAAAUCAUCAUGCCCCUUAUGACCUGGGCUACACACGUGCUACAAUGGUUGGUACAACGAGUUGCGAGUCGGUGACGGCGAGCUAAUCUCUUAAAGCCAAUCUCAGUUCGGAUUGUAGGCUGCAACUCGCCUACAUGAAGUCGGAAUCGCUAGUAAUCGCGGAUCAGCACGCCGCGGUGAAUACGUUCCCGGGCCUU